CCUACGGGUGGGCAGCAGUGGGGAAUAUUGGACAAUGGGCGAAAGCCUGAUCCAGCCAUGCCGCGUGUGUGAAGAAGGCCUUCGGGUUGUAAAGCACUUUCAGUGGGGAAGAAAGCCUUGGGGCUAAUACCCUCGAGGAAGGACAUCACCCACAGAAGACGCACCGGCUAACUCCGUGCCAGCAGCCGCGGUAAUACGGAGGGUGCGAGCGUUAAUCGGAAUUACUGGGCGUAAAGCGCGCGUAGGCGGUCUGAUAAGCCGGUUGUGAAAGCCCCGGGCUCAACCUGGGAACGGCAUCCGGAACUGUCAGGCUAGAGUGCAGGAGAGGAAGGUAGAAUUCCCGGUGUAGCGGUGAAAUGCGUAGAGAUCGGGAGGAAUACCAGUGGCGAAGGCGGCCUUCUGGACUGACACUGACGCUGAGGUGCGAAAGCGUGGGUAGCAAACAGGAUUAGAUACCCCGGUAGUC
rnacentral:rRNA from 1 species